UACGAAGGGAGCUAGCGUUGUUCGGAAUUACUGGGCGUAAAGCGUGUGUAGGCGGUCGGCUAAGUCGGAUGUGAAAGCCCUGGGCUCAACCCAGGAAGUGCACUCGAAACUGGCUGGCUAGAGUAUCGGAGAGGUUGGUGGAAUUCGUCGGUGUAGAGGUGAAAUUCGUAGAUAUCGAGAGGAACACCGGUGGCGAAGGCGGCCAACUGGACGAAUACUGACGCUGAGGCGCGAAAGCGUGGGGAGCAAACAGG
rnacentral:rRNA from 1 species